rnacentral:rRNA from 1 species
GAAUCUUGGACAAUGGGGGCAACCCUGAUCCAGCGACGCCGCGUGGGUGAUGAAGGCCUUCGGGUUGUAAAGCCCUUUCGACGGGGACGAUGAUGACGGUACCCGGCGAAGAAGCCCCGGCUAACUCCGUGCCAGCAGCCGCGGUAAGACGGAGGGUGCUAGCGUUGUUCGGAAUCACUGGGCGUAAAGGGCGCGUAGGCGGCCUUUGGUGUCGGAUGUGAAAGCCCGGGGCUCAACUCCGGAGGUGCAUCCGAAACUCGAAGGCUGGAGGCCGGAAGAGGAGGGUGGAAUACCCAGUGUAGAGGUGAAAUUCGUAGAUAUUGGGUGGAACACCGGUGGCGAAAGCGGCUCUCUGGUCCGGUCCUGACGCUGAGGCGCGAAAGCGUGGGGAGCAAACAGG